AUUGAACGCUGGCGGCGUGCCUAGCACAUGCAAGUCGAGCGGUAACAGGUGUAGCAAUACAUGCUGACGAGCGGCGGACGGGUGAGUAACGCUUGGGAAUCUGCCUGUUAGUGGGGGACAACCCGGGGAAACUCGGGCUAAUACCGCAUACGCACUACGGUGGAAAGCCGGGGACCGCAAGGCCUGGCGCUAACAGAUGAGCCCAAGUCGGAUUAGCUAGUUGGUAGGGUAACGGCCUACCAAGGCGACGAUCCGUAACUGGUCUGAGAGGACGACCAGUCACACCGGAACUGAGACACGGUCCGGACUCCUACGGGAGGCAGCAGUGGGGAAUAUUGGACAAUGGGCGAAAGCCUGAUCCAGCGACGCCGCGUGGGUGAAGAAGGCCUGCGGGUUGUAAAGCCCUUUCGGUGGGGAAGAAAAGCCUCGAGCUAACACCUCGGGGUCUUGACGUAACCCAUAGAAGAAGCACCGGCUAACUCUGUGCCAGCAGCCGCGGUAAUACAGAGGGUGCGAGCGUUAAUCGGAAUUACUGGGCGUAAAGCGCGCGUAGGCGGCUUGCAAGUCGGGUGUGAAAUCCCCAGGCUUAACCUGGGAACUGCAUUCGAGACUGCAUUGCUAGAGUAUGGGAGAGGGAAGUGGAAUUUCCGGUGUAGCGGUGAAAUGCGUAGAUAUCGGAAGGAACAUCAGUGGCGAAAGCGACUUCCUGGACCAAUACUGACGCUCGUGUGCGAAAGCGUGGGGAGCAAACA
rnacentral:rRNA from 1 species